rnacentral:tRNA from 1 species
AGGCGAGUAGUAUAGUGGAUAGUACGUGGCCCUGCGGAGGCCAAGACCGGGGUUCAAUCCCCCGCUCGCCUA